UACAGAGGGGGCAAGCGUUAUUCGGAAUUAUUGGGCGUAAAGGGCGCGUAGGCGGCUUGGCAAGUGGAAGGUGAAAUCCCUCGGCUUAACCGAGGAACUGCCCUCCAAACUGCUUAGCUUGAGACCGGGAGAGGUGAGUGGAAUUCCCAGUGUAGCGGUGAAAUGCGUAGAUAUUGGGAGGAACACCAGUGGCGAAGGCGGCUCACUGGACCGGUACUGACGCUGAUGCGCGAAAGCGUGGGUAGCGAACAGG
rnacentral:rRNA from 1 species